CUUUGUCAAAUUUUUUUUGCAUCUAUUGAAAUGAUCAUAUGGUUGUUAUCCUUUCCUUUAUGUGAUGUGUCACACUGAUUGAUUUGCAAAAAUUG